rnacentral:lncRNA from 1 species
UUCACUGUCACCCAGGCUGGAGUGCAGUAGUGUGAUCUCGACUCACUGCAACCUGCGCAUCCUGGCUCAAGCAAUCCUCCUGCCUCAUACCCCAAGUAGCUGUGACUACAGGCCCGAGCUGCCAUGCCUGGCUAAUGUUUGUAUUUUUCGCAUAGACACGGUUUCACCAUGUUGCCCAGGCUGGCCUUGAACUCCUGAGGUCAAGCAAUCAGCCCGCCUUGGCCUCCCAAAGUGCUGGGAUUACAGGCAUGAGUCACCACACCCGGCUGGCCUUUUCUUUAAAGCUUUUCAGCUGUAACGUCUGAGUCUUUUAAAUCUCUCCUCAUAUGGGGGAGUUGGUCCAGAGAUGGAGAGCCAGAAUAAGACCAAAGUUAAAGUAUGAGAAAUAGUGUAGUGGUGUCCUGAGAUGGACAGCCUGAGAGGAAUGGGGAAGGGGCAGAGAGUGGCCUGGCAGUGGCUCUGACCUGAAGCUGAUAGGCCAGGUCAGCCUGUGCUCGGCGGGUGUUGACCUCGAUGUCAUAGGCGGCCUUCUUCAGUUCGUAAUCUCUCUGUGCCUUGGCCAUCUCGAUCUCACUCAGGUACUGAGCAGACACCUUUUCCUGCUUGGCUUUAGCUUCCUGUCCAAGCAGAGAUCAGCAUCUCUCUUGGCCUCUGCUUCUCCAAUCCGUGCAUCUUUUUGGACUUGAGCUGUUCGAGCCUUCCCCAAAGAGUGCAAAUAGUCCUGUGGGAGAGAUGUAGAAAUUAGUCCUUUGGAGGGCUUAAGAGAUGGGAGCAAGGAAGUGGGGAAGGAUCAAUUGCCUAGUUUUACCUGGUCAUCGUGAAUGUCCUUCAGAG